UACGUAGGGUGCGAGCGUUAAUCGGAAUUACUGGGCGUAAAGCGUGCGCAGGCGGUUUUGUAAGCCCGAUGUGAAAUCCCCGGGCUCAACCUGGGAAUGGCGUUGGUGACUGCAAGGCUAGAGUUUGGCAGAGGGGGGUAGAAUUCCACGUGUAGCAGUGAAAUGCGUAGAUAUGUGGAGGAACACCGAUGGCGAAGGCAGCCCCCUGGGUCAAAACUGACGCUCAUGCACGAAAGCGUGGGGAGCAAACAGG
rnacentral:rRNA from 1 species